UGCCUUACACAUGCAAGUCGAACGGCAGCACGGGGGCAACCCUGGUGGCGAGUGGCGAACGGGUGAGUAAUAUAUCGGAACGUGCCCUGGAGUGGGGGAUAACGUAGCGAAAGUUACGCUAAUACCGCAUACGAUCUACGGAUGAAAGCAGGGGAUCGCAAGACCUUGUGCUCGUGGAGCGGCCGAUAUCUGAUUAGCUAGUUGGUGGGGUAAAAGCCUACCAAGGCGACGAUCAGUAGCUGGUCUGAGAGGACGACCAGCCACACUGGAACCGAGACACGGUCCAGACUCCUACGGGAGGCAGCAGUGGGGAAUUUUGGACAAUGGGGGCAACCCUGAUCCAGCAAUGCCGCGUGAGUGAAGAAGGCCUUCGGGCUGUAGAGCUCUUUUGUCAGGGAAGAAACGGUGGGGGCUAAUAUCUCCUGCUAAUGACGGUACCUGAAGAAUAAGCACCGGCUAACUACGUGCCAGCAGCCGCGGUAAUACGUAGGGUGCAAGCGUUAAUCGGAAUUACUGGGCGUAAAGCGUGCGCAGGCGGUUUGGUAAGACAGAUGUGAAAUCCCCGGGCUUAACCUGGGAAUUGCAUUUGUGACUGCCCGGCUAGAGUGUGUCAGAGGGGGGUAGAAUUCCACGUGUAGCAGUGAAAUGCGUAGAGAUGUGGAGGAAUACCGAUGGCGAAGGCAGCCCCCUGGGAUAACACUGACGCUCAUGCACGAAA
rnacentral:rRNA from 1 species